GGUGAACGCUGGCGGUAGGCCUAACACAUGCAAGUCGAACGGCAGCACAGUAAGAGCUUGCUCUUACGGGUGGCGAGUGGCGGACGGGUGAGGAAUACAUCGGAAUCUACUUUUUCGUGGGGGAUAACGUAGGGAAACUUACGCUAAUACCGCAUACGACCUACGGGUGAAAGCAGGGGAUCUUCGGACCUUGCGCGAUUGAAUGAGCCGAUGUCGGAUUAGCUAGUUGGCGGGGUAAAGGCCCACCAAGGCGACGGUCCGUAGCUGGUCUGAGAGGAUGAUCAGCCACACUGGAACUGAGACACGGUCCAGACUCCUACGGGAGGCAGCAGUGGGGAAUAUUGGACAAUGGGCGCAAGCCUGAUCCAGCCAUACCGCGUGGGUGAAGAAGGCCUUCGGGUUGUAAAGCCCUUUUGUUGGGAAAGAAAAGCAGCAGGUUAAUACCCCGCUGUUCUGACGGUACCCAAAGAAUAAGCACCGGCUAACUUCGUG
rnacentral:rRNA from 1 species